rnacentral:sRNA from 1 species
GUCGGGUUCGGAAUGAAGUGAUUGAUCCGGUCGCCGAUCACGGCCCACGUGCGCUUGCCGUCCCUGACCAUCUGCACGCCGCGGCGCUUGAACUCCCU